rnacentral:misc_RNA from 1 species
AUGAUCUCCAAAAAAUGGCUGACUCUGAGGAACGUGAUGACGACAGCCAGGGUGCAGACAGCGACGAUGAGAUUGCCGAGCUCCGCAUACAAGCCCUCCUAAGUAAGAAAGUUAAUGAGGCUGAGGUCUCGCCUGCCAGAGACCCCCAAGUCAGCAGUAAGAAUGUAAAUAAGCCCCUUCCCAUUGAAAGACCGAGGGCUUUCAGGCCUGCAGAGGACUUUGAGAAGAAUGCCCAAAACAACAUAGAAACCAUUCCAGUGGUCGGCUCCCACAACUACAAUAGGAACUUCCACAACUUCCACCACGGUAUGGAUCACGACCGGCACUUCAACCGCGGGAGGUACUUCCCACCACGAGGGCAAGGGAAGGGUCGGGGAUGGGGCCGUGGGAGAGGCCGCGGCAGGGGUUACCGGGGCCAUAAUGAGGAUUUUUCACACCUUCCUCCAGUAAAACCAAGUGGUGCGCAGUUGGUGCUUCCACAAGACAAAUACUCAAAAAAUGAACCGCCUGAACAGCCAAAGACCAAAGAAAAGAUGAGUGCCCGGUGGCGGCGGAUACAAGGAUCAGAUAGUGAGAGUGAUAGUGAGGAUAGUGAAUCAGACAGCAGUGACAGCAGUAGUGAUAGCUCAGGUAGUUCUAGUGGCAGUAGUUCUGGUAGUUCAAGUGGUUCCGACUCAGACAGUGAGCCCAGUUCGGUGGACAAGCGGAAAUCAAGCAAAGACGUGAAACGUGAAGGUGGCCCUAGUGAAAGGAAGGGAGGCCCUUCAGGACCAGUUAGUAGCCGGCAGAGACAGGUUUCAGGCAAAGCCAUGUCGGGGAAGUCCCCACCUCUACCUGGUUCAUCGCGAAACCUUCCUUCCCCGCAGAAGAUGAAUGCCCCAGGUAGAAGAGGCUCGUCUAGUCCUUCUAAUAAGUACCCUCCUUCGUCUCAUCAUGUGUCGCCUCAUCAUUUACAGCGAAGGGGAUCCAGAAGCCCCCCCAGUCACCGCUCUUGGACACCCCCUAGAGGUCGAAGUCCCUUUCACAAGCAGAAAGGCAGAAGCCCUUCACCGAGAUCCAAAGGGAUGAGAAGUCCUCCACCCAGAGAUGAUGUAAGAGUCAUGUCUCCUAGGUUAAGAUCUAAAAGCCCCUCUGGCCGCAGGCAUUCGAGAAGCCCUCCAUCUUGGAGCAGGACACGUAGCCCAACACAUGGUGGUACUUCAAAGAGUCCUGCUUCUCGUUUAAGAAGUCCCUUUUCCAGGAGAAAUUCUAGAAGUCCACUUCCACGCCAUCUUUCCAGAAGUCCUCAAAGAAUACCAAAAAGUCCACUGCAGCGAGGGAGGUCCAGAAGCCCAAUGCUGAGAGGAAGAUCUAGAAGUCCCGGGCCUCAUAGAAUAUCAAGAAGUCCAUUACUAAGGAGGGGCUCAAGAAGUCCUCUGACAAGAAGGGGCUCGAGAAGUCCCUUGCCUAGGAGAGGGUCGAGAAGUCCAUUACCAAGGAGAAGCUCAAGGAGUCCAUUGCCAAGAAGAAGCCCACUGCCUAGAAGAAGUUCGAGAAGUCCAGUGCCAAGAAGACUGUCAAGAAGUCCACUAAGUCAUCGGGCCACAAGGAGCCCACCUCCUAGAAGAGGGUCAAGGAGCCCUCUGCCUCUCAAAACUUCAAGGAGUCCACUUCCCAGAAGACUUUCAAGAAGCCCUCCUCCCCGACGAAUUUCAAGGAGCCCCCCACCCCGUAGAAGCUCUAGAAGUCCUCUUCCUCCUCACCUGUCUAGAACUUCAUUGAAUCGCCGUUUGUCCAGAAGUCCACACAAGCAGCGACUGUCAAGGAGCCCGCUUCCUCGAAGGCUUUCACACACCCCACCACCAAGAAGGCUAUCUCGUAGUCCACUGCCACGCAGAAUUUCUAGAACCCCUCCAAGACGCAUGUCACGUAGUCCUCCACCCAGACGCUUUUCAAGAAGUCCAGUUCACAGAGGCUCAAGGACCCCACAACGUAGGAUAUCACGAAGUCCAAUUCAUCCUCAAGGACAUCUUUCUAGGAGUCCUAGAAGAGGUUCCAGAAGCCCACACUUAUUAGGAAGAGGUAAGAAUGUGUCUCCCCAUCGAGGCACAAGAAGUCCAUCUCCCAGAAGACUCCAGAGAAUGUCCCCUUCACAUAGGACUCACAGUCCUAAUGCUCACAGAGUACACAGGUAUUCCAGGAGUCCAAACAGAAAAUACACUUCACAGACUCCUCCGUAUAAAGGAGGCCAAAGUCCUUCCAGGAGAGGUUUGCCAUUAAUGAGAGCCCACAGCAGAUCACCAAGCCCUGGUUUGAAGGGGGAUUGGAGGCAUGCAGGAAGGAGAUCAAGAAGCCCGGGCUCUUAUAGAAUACCUCGCAGUCCGUACCACAGGAAUGCAGGAAGUUCAUCACCUCAUGAUAGAAUGGGCAACUUGGCCUCGCCUGUGAGGAAUAGACCACCUCCAGGGGGACCUGAUGCUGGACCAGCAAGAGGUCCAUAUCAUAGGCAGAAUUAUACUGAUAGAUUCCCUGGGCCGGGUUUGCCUCUAUCAGAAAGGCCAGGAGAAAUCUCACCACAGUAUGGUAAUUAUCCCAUGGAAAGGCCAUUACAGCCUCCUUUGAAUGGUCAGCAACACUUCAUGAACUAUCGUGAGCUUGGCCCUCCCCCUCAAGCAGGCCCCUCAUGGCCACAUUCAGAUAGACGAGACCAACUUCCACCUCAGAGACUGCUACCAGAAAGUGGUUGGAAUGACCAAUACCAGCAGCGAGAUCAUCUUCCUUUCACAUCACACCCUGACCAUGAGUUUCCUGCAAACAGAGGACAUCUUGAUGUGAUACAUGGUCGACCAGCUGCUGGAAUGAUAGGACCACAUGGGCGAGUGCAUGGCUCACCUCCACCACACCACUUACGACCGGUGUCCCCUCAGCCUCACCUUGGCCGACCACCACAUAUGCCUGAUCAUCAUGGAAGGUAUGGCCAUGACUUACCCCCCAUGGAUAUGAAUGAACGCAGAAGACAAAUAUCACCAGGUCGGCAAGGUCACAGGCUAAGGUCACGUUCCAAAUCUCCAUUCUCAGGCAGGCCCUAUUCUUAUCCUCCAGGUGAGAGAGGUGGGCCUUUGUCACCAAGGGGACGAUUGCCUCCCAUGGCACAGAACAGACGGGGUCCACGAACUCCACCUCUACCAUCUUCCAGGAAAAUGUCUCCUCGACCAGGGCCUCGUGAGACAGUGAAAUCUCCUAGAGGAGCACAAUCUGGUUGGUCACAGGAAAAUAAAGGGCCAGCUCAGGGUAGAAGACCCAGUCCAUCUCAGUCCUAUCCACAUGAUAGGGGCCCUUAUCAUCGGGGAGGUGCAAGCCAGUCAUCAAUGAGAAGAAAUGCCACAGGAAACAGUCCCCCUCCAGGUGCCAGAGAUCAACCCAGGAGUCAGGAUGAUGAGCACAAACCACAAUAUCAUGGAAGAAAUCAUUCACCAUCUUACCAGAGUGACAAGCAGUCUGAAAAUGUCAGAGAGAGGAUUGGUACAGAGUCAGAUGAUAAAAAGCGAAGAUUAGACUCUCCAAGGAGAUCAGAGAACAGACAGAAAUCUCCGUACAGGAACAGAUCUCCAGGCCGCUCACAUCCUUCAAGGGGUAGCAUUCAGUCGGGACGGGGGAAAGGACGCGGUGCCAAAGGAGGCAGACAUGCAAGUCCAGUUUCAGACCGCAGCCGAAGACAAGUUGGACGCAAGCGUGAUACUGUACCAAGUAAGCAACGGUCUAGAAGCCCCUCUGGACGUCAGAAGGCACCAGGUUUGUCCUGGGACAAGAGAGAAGCCAAGAAUUCAGAAAGCUUUGGCAAAGAGGGGGUUGCAUCAACUCGAAAUCAGUCACCAGAAAGACAUGGUCGUAAUGGAAGUCCUUGGUUGGAGCCAGUGACACCUGAGAAACAGAGCCAGGGAACACGGGAGCAUUCUUUGACUCCUGGAGAGAAUGCCAAUGAUGACCAAGAAAAGAAGGAACAAUCAACGAAAGCAAAGGCUGCAGAAGAGGGCAGAGAAGACAAAGGAAAACAUCCAACAGAUCAGAAGAACCAUCAGACUGAGCUGCCUAACAAGAAACAUGAAUCUUCAAACAAGGAUGAAGGAAAACCUUCAGUUGAACAAGAGAAACUAGAAGCCCGUCGGAAGAAAUUUGAACAGGGGAAACCAGUUGUGCCUCAGGAGCCACGCAAGAUCUUACUAAAAUCUUCAGAGUCUGCAAAAUCUGCUGACACCGAAAAUACUGAUAAGGAUAAGAAAGAUGAAAAGCAGAAAGAGGAACAUGAGGACAAAAAGAAGAAAAAGAAAAAGAAGAAGAAGGAAGAAGAGGAGGAGGAAGAUGAUGAUGACGAUGAUGAUGGAUCUGUGAAAAAUAGAUCAAGCAAGAAGAAGAAAAAAGAAAAGAAAAAGAAGAAAAAGGGCAAGAAAAAGAAGAAGAAACAUAAACAUUCAGAUAAUGAAAGUGAAGAGGAGGAGAAAGAAACAAAUAAAAGCAGGAAUGUAAAAGAAGGGAAGAAGGAAAACAUUGACUCCUCUGACCUGCGCCACAUGCUGAAGAGAAAAAUAGAGAGUGGUGAGAGUGGGAGAGGCAACAGCAGUAGUAGCAAACAGGAUUUGGAUGAAAAAGAUGAGAAACGUGCAAGGAGAGACAAGCAUGAAGAUGGGCCCAGGAUUUUGGCGAGGACUAAGAGCAGGCAGUCGGAGAGUGCCAGGAAGAAGCAUGAUGGAAAGCCCCUUCUUGUGACUGUAGCAUCGGGUGAAAAUCGCCAUGUCAUGUCUGGCGAUGUUGUGAACAAACGUGAUGAAGGAAAAAGCUCUCAGCGCCUGUCAGUCCACCUCCGUCUAGGCCCGGCAAAGACGUCUUGGGAAGAGGGCAAGUCUAGCAACGUGCAGGGGAGUGGGAGCAGUGGCGGAGGUGGUGGUGGAAGCGGAGGUGGCAGUAGCGGAGGAGGCAGUGGCGGAGGGAGACACAAAAGACGCGACAAAUCCAAAGGACGGCAGAGUGGAGGAGGAGGUGCAAGCAACAGAGUGAAGCUGAGGCGUUGAUGUGCUCUUUCAGCCUGGAUGCAGGUAACACAAACAUCUCAUUGCUGCUGCUGCUGCACUCACCCGUCUUGAAGUGUGGAGAGCUCAGUGAAUUUGUCUGUGAUACCAGGUUUUACUUUUCUAGUUUGGCGCGAUGCUAUGAGGCUGCUCCCCCAUGUGCUGGGUGGCUCUCUCACCCACUUCUUCUGUACCUGGAACUUGUCCUUGACUCAGUACUAAGUGUGCCACACCCAGACCAGAGCCACAUGUGUGCGCUUAGGUGGAUACUUGCAUGCGUGUCUGAGUCGUGAGUGUGUGUGUGUGUGUGUGUGUGUGUGCGAGUGAGUGUGAGUGUGCUUGUGCUUAUGAUGUGUUUGUUGUGUUUGUAGUUAAGCUAAGUGUAAAUAUAUGAGUGAUAUUGUAUCUCUUGUGGUUCUUUUGUUUGAUUAUUAUAUGCUAGUGCAGGAUUAUUUCUCUGAAUGUAUAUUUUUUAGAAUAUCGCUGAUAGAUUUUCACAACAUUACGGCACAUGUGGAGCAAAAAAUCUGAUGUAAAGGCAGUUUGUGAUAUGACUUGAUUAUGGAGAUUUUUUAAAGCUCCUUUGAUAAUAGUUAAAAAGUGUGUGUGUGUGUGUUUGUAUGAGUGCAUGAGUGUGUAUAUAUGUUACUAGGAUAUUUGAAAUUAUAUGAUGAGUCACAGAAUAGGCUGUAAGAACUUGCCAUAAAGUAGUUUUCAGUUUGUGUUUUCAAUGUAUUAUUCAUACGCAUACCAGAAUCCUUAGUAAAGAUUUUAAGGUCAAAACAAUAUCAGUGGCAAAUUUUAUUUUAGUUAAACAUUACAGAUAAACCUCAAAGUAGAGGUUGAAGGUGUUCUUAUUAUUGUAUCGUGAAGAAUCAAUACUCUUUUCACUCAUUUUACUUCAGAAAAUAUUGAUAUUAUUCCCCAUAAAGAAAGUGAUGUUAUGUAUUUUUAUGUUUCCUCAAUUACAUUUCAUGAUAUACAAUAUUUUUUUUCCUCUGAAACCUUCAUCCAUUGCUCAGUGGACUGAUAUUAAACCCAUACUCCUUCAACGUAUAUCUCUCUCUAUAUAUAUUUGCUUUUUUUUUUUUCAUUUUUUCUUUUUGAAUUGUGGCAAUGUGUGUAGAUUUGAGAAUAAAUGUGCCAUCCAAGGAUUAAAUGGUAGAUAAAGACAAACUGUACAAAGUGAAUAUAUGGCACUGUACAUCCUGUUAGUAUCAUGUCAUCAUCAUUGUCCAUAGUUCGUGGGGAACACUUCACCUUUUUAUUGUACAUCUCAUGGUUAGGUGACACUUAUGAGUAGCUGAUAAAUGGUCAUUCAUUUCAUCUCUUAGGGGUUAAAAGCAAUUUCUUCUGUCGAGACUUGUGUAAUAAUUUUAUUACCAGUAAUUUUUAAAAAAACAUAGUAUUUGUAUUACUUGUAUUUUUUUUUUUUAUUAUUAUUGUUUAUUAUUAUGAUUAUUCUGAAAUUGUUUUGUCAAGAUUCUCCGUAAACGUUAAGAUUUAUUUUGUUCUAUAUACAGGAAACUUUUUAAGAGGCAUCUUCAUUUUAUAGGGACUUCAUCUCAUAUUCCAUUUUGAAGGUUUGAAAACAUUGUAAUUGUAUAAAUAAAUGCCAUAUUUUGAA